rnacentral:rRNA from 1 species
AUUGAACGCUGGCGGCAGGCCUAACACAUGCAAGUCGAACGGUAACAGGAAACAGCUUGCUGUUUCGCUGACGAGUGGCGGACGGGUGAGUAAUGUCUGGGAAACUGCCUGAUGGAGGGGGAUAACUACUGGAAACGGUAGCUAAUACCGCAUAACGUCGCAAGACCAAAGAGGGGGACCUUCGGGCCUCUUGCCAUCGGAUGUGCCCAGAUGGGAUUAGCUAGUAGGUGGGGUAACGGCUCACCUAGGCGACGAUCCCUAGCUGGUCUGAGAGGAUGACCAGCCACACUGGAACUGAGACACGGUCCAGACUCCUACGGGAGGCAGCAGUGGGGAAUAUUGCACAAUGGGCGCAAGCCUGAUGCGGCCAUGCCGCGUGUAUGAAAAAGGCCUUCGGGUUGUAAAGUACUUUCAGCGGGGAGGAAGGGAGUAAAGUUAACACCUUUGCUCAUUGACGUACCCGCAGAAGAAGCACCGGCUAACUCCGUGCCAGCCGCCGCCGUAA